rfam:Canis lupus familiaris chromosome 29, whole genome shotgun sequence.
GCCUGGGUGGCUCAGUGGUUGAGCAUCUGUCUUUGGCUCAGGUCCUGAUCCCAGGAUCUGGGAUCGAGUCCCGCAUCAGGCU